GCGCUCGUACAGUCAAGGGCGGGCAAGUAGACACAACAUACGCACACACUCUCUCUUUCUCAUACACACACAUGAAUAACUUUAAUAAUAUCUUAUAGUAAUAGAGAAACUCUAUAAAAAACAGAAUAGUAGGAUAUGCAGGACAGUAGAACUGUAAUGAUAUUAAGAAGUUGGAAGUACAGUAAACCGCUUUUCAAGUAGUAUCAAUAUAUAUAAAAUAAGAAAUAUAGUACAAAUAUGAAAAUAAAUUAUAAACGAGAAAUACAGGAAAAAAAGGAAAAUAUAACUUACUCAUGAUUCAGAUGGUGAAGAUUCUCGUCUCGCAAGGAAAGCCUUAAUUUUUAGAGAACCAUGAAGAGAGCCAGUUAUAAGGGUGGCUGGGUCAAACUCCCCCCCCCCCCCCCCCCCCUCGAGAUAACGAUAAGACCAAGGUCCCUCCCGGUUGUUUAGUCGUCUUGUCUACGUCAUUUUUUUUACCUAGGGAAUUGAGAAUCCUGGUUUCUGACCACCUAGGUAAAUGAGAAUCCUGGUUUCUGACCCCCUAGGUAAAUGAGAAUCCUUGUUUCUGACCACCUAGGUAACUAGAAACUCUGAGUUUUUGUUUCCUGGGUUGUUGGAAAUGCCUGGGUUCUGAUUUUAUGUGUAAAUUAAAACCCCUGGUUUCAAUUCUAUGGGUAAGUGAAAUAGGCCUUUUCUGGAAACCUAUGGGUUAUCUAGUGUGUAAAUACAGUAUAAAUACUGGAGCUUAAGCUCAGGGUAUUGGGAUCACUUCUGAGAAUUCUCAUUGGUGUGGAUCUCUUGUGGUGGAAUGGAACAAUAAAGCUGGACCCUUGCUUCUUCUCACUCACGGCUGGUGUAUUUUUUCUAUCUCCAACUGGGCUCAGAGGUAGAUGUGAGUAUUGGCUUCUAAGUUGAGUUUUAAAUGUUUUUGGGUAAUAGGCUAAAUUCGAGCCAACAUUUGGCACCCCAGAUGGGACUGGGCUAAGAUCUAUAUGUCUGGAAUCUCUCCCGUGGGACUUUGCUCUCUAAGCAACAGAUAGGCCGUAUAGGAAAAGGCAUUGCAGACGCCUGUUAUUUCAAAGCUCUGUUUUAGUGGUCUGUUGUUACGAUUGAGAAGCCCCGGGGUGGGAAGAAGGACUAAGUGGGUCUCCAAAAGAACCUGGAGUGAGUGAGAAGAGCUGCCCAUGAUCUUAGCCAGUGUGCGAGGGGGAAGGUAAAGGAAUGAUCUCUGUACUUGCAGGCAACGGUGGAGGAUCACCUGAAGUGUGCUCAAAAUUAUUUAUUUUUUUCCUUGACCAGGGAUAGGUCUGGCACACCCUGAUUUGUGUUUGAUGUAAUUUGUGCUGAUACUAAACGUAUUUCGGUAGAUGCUCUACCUCUUGCACUAAUGACCUAUCACCUGCAGACUAACAGCCAUAUGUAUCUAACACCGCAUGAAAUGCUUACGGGUCGACCCAUGUCUGUGUCUGUUCCUUAUGAUGGACUGCCGCUGGAGUAAUUGCAGAUGAAUCAAGAACAUAUAUAAGACCACUAACUAUUAUGUAUGGAGCUAUAUAUUCACAGGAACAGAGCUGAGUGCAGUGUUAUGUGUGAGGCGUCACCGCCUCAACGGGGGGAGGUGUUCAGAGGUGUUCACCCGGAGGUGGGAGUCCCGGAGCAGCGAGAGAAUGCUGACUACAAGGCGACAGCGGACUACCAGGACAUGCGAACCCCUGGAGGAUGCUCAAUCCUCCAAUGACGAGAUGGUGGGGAACACGUGAAGGUCCGGUACGAAGCUGCCAUCAAAGGGGGGUCUGUCAGUCAGUGGCAGACAGGAUGAGAAGAUGUGAAGAUCCAUACCCUGGGUGUACGUGCUAGCCUAACCUCUCCCCAAAGGGUGGCUCUCUACAGUACGUAAAGUGCUUGAGCUGAAGACAACUAGCAUACAGAGAGAUACUGCAUACAACAGACUGUCAAGUACUGUUAUAAAAUGUUAUAAAAUGUUUGUGAUAUGACGCAAUCAGGCACAGAAAAGUAUAAUGGUGCUGCCGAGCACAUAGUGCUGGCAGGGUGGGAAUUUUUCCUCGUAAGAGGUUUUUUCGCCCACCCCUGACUGCGAAACACUGGGGUUUGGUUUUUGAGGGGAAGCAAGAAUCUGCAGGUCCCGACAAAUACAAAACUGUGGGCUGACAGGCCUAGUUGAGAAAGAUAGGGACGUGUAGAUCAAGUAGUUAGUUACUGUAGUGUACUCAUACGUACGGCAGUAGUAGUAGUAAUAAAUGAUUAGGGGAACUCAGUUAAUCACACUUAUAAUCGAUGUAGGCAAACAAACGUAUAAUCAAGGUAGUUAGAUUCGAAAUGAGAUAUAUAUAUACAUAGUUAAAAGGAGAAGUAAGUUAAGGGUUAAGAGUUAUGGCUAGGUACAUCUACACAUGUCCGGCGCAAAGUGGAUGUAGGGGGGUCCUAAGGCCCAUUCUCCAGCUGCCAAUCUACUAUGAGACCCCGGGGCGCACAACACUAGCACGUCUCCCACCAGGUCUACAAAACCUCCUCAGCUCCUAUUCGGAUCGGUGUUGCGUAGAAGUGGUUAAUGUAGGGGACCCAUUGGAUUACGGGGACGACGGCCGGGAUUAUGGCUUCGUUAGAGUAAUCCUCCGACAGCUAGCGGGGGACGGCCAUGGGGUGCGGCAGAAUCAGUUCCUCCAUGCUUAAUUAAGGUAUUGUAUUAGGCUUCAUAGCCUCAGAGGGGGAAAUGUUGUGGAUAAAAAAAUGGCAUAAAAUAAACAUAAGGGAGGUCCAGAUCCAGAUCCAGGUCCAGUAACGGAGAGAGAAGGGACUGACGACGGGCACCGGCACCUAGACAUACAGAAGCGGUUUUAGUCAGAAGUGGAUAAAUUGGUAAAACACUUUAAAGAUCUUUAUGGGUUAUUAGUCGAAAUAGUCGAAAGAAGUGUACGAGCUGAGGAGUGCUAAAACACACACACACACACACACACACACGCUCGUACAGUCAAGGGCGGGCAAGUAGACACAACAUACGCACACACUCUCUCUUUCUCAUACACACACAUGAAUAACUUUAAUAAUAUCUUAUAGUAAUAGAGAAACUCUAUAAAAAACAGAAUAGUAGGAUAUGCAGGACAGUAGAACUGUAAUGAUAUUAAGAAGUUGGAAGUACAGUAAACCGCUUUUCAAGUAGUAUCAAUAUAUAUAAAAUAAGAAAUAUAGUGCAAAUAUGAAAAUAAAUUAUAAACGAGAAAUACAGGAAAAAAAGGAAAAUAUAACUUACUCAUGAUUCAGAUGGUGAAGAUUCUCGUCUCGCAAGGAAAGCCGUAAUUUUUAGAGAACCAUGAAGAGAGCCAGUUAUAAGGGUGGCUGGGUCAAACUGCCCCCCCCCUCGAGAUAACGAUAAGACCAAGGUCCCUCCCGGUUGUUUAGUCG
ensembl:lncRNA